rnacentral:SRP_RNA from 1 species
AGAUAUGGUGGUGCAGGCCUGUCACCCCAGCUAUCAGGGAGACUGAGGCUAGCAGUUCCCCUGAGCUCAGGAGUUCUGAGCUACAGUGGGCUACACUGAUCAGGUGUCUGCAUGAAGUUUGGUAUUAAUAUGGCAAGUCCUAUGAGAACUGAGAGUAACUAAGUUGCUUAGGGAGGGGCAACAGGUCGGAAACAAAAUAGAUCAAAGCUCCCAUACUGAUCAGAGUAGGAUCAGGCCCAUGAGUAGCACCUGGAAAAGACAGGGAGACCUAGUCUUU